CCUAUAACACAGUCUUGUAAUAGCACUUUUCAAUUUGUAAGUGGCAUUCCAAGUUUUUGAGCCAUUGCUUGUUAGCACAAUUGGCUUAGUAUUCCACCACAUAGAGCUGCAUAUUGUUCAUACAAUCAGCAGAAUUGAUCUUUUGAAACAUAUUUUUAAUACAGUGGAAAACUCAUUGUGUGCGACAACAAGUCAAAGCCCUUUAGACAUAAGAAUAUAAGCACACUCCACUAAUUCCCCAACAUCAAAUUUUGAAUAACAGAUUUUAGGAGGGCACAGCCCUCUGGUCUUUUAUGAUUACAAUGACAGAAUAAAAUGAAACGAAAAGGAGUGGCUAAGGGGAGAGGGUAUAUCCUUUCCUUGCCAUCCAUGUAUUCUGUCGGUGCUACUUUGUUGAGGGCUUCUUUAGAAUAUGUGACCCUGCUGCACAUGGGUGGGUCUUUGAGGACAGUGACCUUAGCAACCUUUGCUAGAGGAAGGUAUGAUGAGGACAGACCUGGUGCAGGUACAAUCGAGGUUUAAGGUGUAGAUUGUUGAUUUGGAAGGAGGCAGGCCUCCAGAACUGUUGGAUCUGGAGGCCUCCAGGGCUUGGACGGUUAGGGUUUGAGAAGGCGGAAGAAGGAGACAGGAAGGAGGCAUACCAGAGGGCUCCUUGUCUUUGCAUUGCUAUAGCAGGGCUUGGACAGUUAAGGUUUGAGGAGGAGGAAGAAGGAGACAGGAAGGAGGCAUAUCAGAGGGCUCCUUGUCUUUGCAUUGCUAUAGUUCUUCUGCCAUCUUCCAUUAUCUCUCUCUCUCUCUCUCUGUGACCAGGGAUUCCAUGAACAGUGUUACAGUCACUCCUUGAAGGCUAACAGUGACAAUCUAUCAAUAGCAAUUAGAUCAGAUUUCCUAAAUACCAUUAGCUAAGAGGUAAAUACAAAGAAUAAAUUGAAUGCUACAUAAUAAUAUCAGCAAGAUAAACUAAUCCAAUAACAGUCAAUCUCCUAAUAAUGUCAUCAGACUUGCAUAUUUUGGACAUGGGAGUUCCUUCCAUGUUUUGCAAAUGAUGUGAACUUUUGCAAGUCUUCUGUGAUUAAUUAGACAUAAUCCUUGAAGUCUCUUUUAAUUAGUCACAUAAAUAUAUCUAUAUAUAUAUAUGUAUAUGACUUCAAGGGUUUCUUCCAAAAUUUUAGUAGGAUCUGGAUUCUGUCUGUCAACACAUUGUUCAACAAUAUAAGAUAUGCAGACACCCACCUACUUAGAUUCAUUCAUAGGUGUGCCCUUAAAGAAAUCUAUAUUGCAAAAAGUGACACAUCCAAGAUGCACCCGAUGAAGGCAAAAUCGUUUUUUGGAACUGUAGAACUCCAUGGAUCUACUGCAAGAGUUCAAUAUACCUUCUGGAUCACACGACAACCAUACAUUUGCAGACUUAAAGGUAUCAUCUGGCCAGCAAGUUGAUAUGCAAGUUCCCUUCUCUGCUCAGGAGUCCCAUGUUCAAAAAACUGUAACAUAUAAAGUCCAGAUUUGAACAACAAAAACUAUCUCAUUUAUAAAAUUUCAGAAGUCAUGCAAGAUAAUACAUGAAAACAAACAUACAAUUUAAUGCCUAAGAAGUUUGAAAACAUACCUUUUGAAUAACAUAAUUCCCAAAGACAUCAGUCAUUAAUCUUGAAGCAUGUGGAAGAACCUCUUUGAAAACAGAUGCCUUCUCUUCACCACUACAAUUCUCCAACUUCUGCUGAAUAAACCGACUCCCAUGUUGAUCAACACUGAGAUUAAAAUGCAAGAAAAAUGAUUCUUUGUAUUGGAUGUGCUACAGAAAUUCAAUUUUAAACUGUAAAAAAAGAAACCUAAUCAUAUAAGAAAAUGUAAAGAACAGGAACACAGCACAUAACACCUGCCUGAAUUCAACUGUGCGUCCUGCAAUAUCAGAGAGCUCAAAUUUCCGGGCAUUGUUAGAUUUGAGUUCUUCGAGAAAAGAGUGUUUUUUGGGAUCCUCAAAGUUGUCUGCUCCUCUUUGUCCUUGCCAUCCAGAAUAUACUCCUACAUUUCUAAUUGGACCUUGAGGAAACCUCAUUUCAUUUCUACGUCCUGGAUGAUUUGUCCCACCUACUGGAGAUCCAGGCAGUAUCGGACUAGAGAGAGGUGAGGCCGGAAAUUGUGUCAUGACACCCAUGUUGGGAGGACUUCCAUAAUAACUACUGCCCAUUAUUCCCCCUUUUCUUGGACUUGGAACACUCAGGCUUCCAUUUGUUGGAGGCUGGAGUUUCUGAUCACCCAUGUAGGCACUGACAUGGGACUCUUUCUGUGAAACAGAGGAAUCUUGACCCCCAAUAACACCUCUUGGUGGCAACCGACCAUACUGACCUGCAGCACCAUAUGCGUCCUCAAAAGGAUGCUGAAAGUAUUGCAUGUGAAGAGGAUCCAGAAAAGAAGGUUGCAGCAUUAACCCAUGAUGCCCAUAGAACUUGUUCAGAUUUUGUAACUCAUGUGGAAUGCUUUCCCCCAUUGAUGCACCAGUUGUUCGAACAUUAAAGCUUGGACCAGAAGUAGCAUCAAAAGGCAUAGGAAUGGCAGCAGGAGAAGGGUACCCACCUAUAAAUUGAGGAACAAGUGCCGAACUCAGACCAUAUCCACCCAUCCCAUACUGCGGAGCAAAUAGGCCUGAUGGCUGUAUAUUAGGGUAAAAUGGACUUCCUGAAGCAAUAUAUGCUGCUGCUGUUGCAUACAGAGGAGGGGUGAGUCCAGGAGACUGCAUCAUAGGCUGUACCUCAACUGAAGAGAACUUAGGGGGUGCAUGGGGAAGUUUUUCCAUGCCAUUAUAAGGGUGGCUCAUUCCUUGAGAGAUCACUUGAGCCUGAACUCCCUGAACUUUGUAUGGAGAGCUUUGUUGUGCAUAUGGAUGGUGUGGCGGCAUAUUCCUCUCAUACGAUGGUUUCUGUUCUUGUUUAUUUGCAUUAUUCUCAGCAACUAGAAGACUAGAUACAUUAGAUGCUUUUGUUUUAGACUCCACUCUAGAAACCUCCAAUCCAGCGCCCCCACUAACUAACGCACCAGCCCCACCUUUAUCACUUGAUUCAUCUUUAGGUAGAGGCAAUGAGCUGUGUUUUCUAUCAGAAUAUGAUGAGCUUGGAAAAGAGUUAGCCGCAUCAUCCUUAUUGGGCAUUAACCCAAUAGCAGGUGCAUCUAGAGUGCAUGUGCUUGCAGAAACAUCAACAGUGCCUGGACCUGGUUCCGGUAAUUUUGAAAUUUCAAGAGAGGAAUCAUUUAAUGAAAUGGCAUGAACAUCAAGAUCAAGUAGUUCCUCCGUUGCUGCAUGGCUCGAGGAACGAGACUGAUUAUAUACAGGAGAUGGGGUGCGGGGAAAGUCUUCCUACAAAAAAUGAAACAUAUCAUGAGUACCAGGCAAUACAAAUAAGCAAUGUCAACUAUCCAGAGGACUAGUUAAAGAACAUCACAGCAGCAAUUAAUCAUUAAUAUGUUACAAUAAAUAUUAUGACCAAUGUUCAGAAGAGGGACUUCUUUUGAGGGAGAAAAUCAGACAGACUUUAUCCAUAUAAAAUGUGACAUCAGAAUGGAAUGUCAUCUCAUUACUUAUUUUUCUAAUAAUGUGUACAAUUUUUGGGUUUUUUUUUUUAAAAAAAAAUCUUUUUAUUUUUCAUUUUUUUGAUAGAGAUAAUGGAUUUUUGUGUAGCAAUUCUUAAAAGUAUUAUCAAAUAAAAACGAUUGUACAACAAGUACUAUGUUCAAUGAACAUGUAAUAUAAUAAUCAAUAAUUACUUUUGUAGAAUAAUUAUUUCAAAUGUAACAUUUAUGUACAAUAUUUCAGGAAAAUAAUAUUUGGAAAACAGGAUAUCUUUGGAAGAAGAAGUAAAUAAUUAUUAUAAUUAUUACUGUGGCAAUAUACAUCAUAUAGCAAUCAUCCAUCAUCUUAGAAAAUCAAAAAAAUAAUUUAAAAUAUAGCAGCCAUGUUGAUGUUUUGGUACUUUUUGUAUGUUAAAAAUCAUUUUUGUCAUUUUACGAAUACAAAAUUAUUUUUUAAUAGAGCAUCUAUACACAAUAUUUCCUGUAGGAUCGAAGAGGAAACAUUUCAACUGACUUCAAGAAAUGUCAAAAGACACACAAAAUUGUAGUUAAAAGUCAUAUGAUUACUUAUAUUUUAUAUAAGCAAUGUCAAUACAUAAAACAAAGAAAAGGAGAAGCCCAAAUGGCUCAUAGCAAGAUACUUGGAACUCUCAACUAGCAACAUAAACAUAAGUAACUCAGUGAUAAAAACAACAAUGAGAAAUGGGACAAAAAAGCAUUGGGAUUAAAAAGAUAUCCAUAAAUAUAUACAGAGUCACAUGCUGAUAUGCUUUUAGAUAUACCAAAUUUUAAAAACCAAGAUCAGAAAUGUUAUAAAGCAUGACCAAGCAUCAAGAUUGGUGAUAAGAAUGCAACUCAGAAAAUACACCACUCAGAUUAAGUUUUAGACCUGUAUCAGAUCAACCAAACUUUUAUGACGACCUGCUGAAGAAGCUGUCUUCUGUCCAGGCAUAACUGCACUGCUGCUUUCUGGCCAAUCAUCUGAGGUUUGUCGGGGUGACCUAUCAUCCUCAGACUCCUCCUUGUGAGUAGAUAGGGAACCACGAGACAAAUGCAGAGAUCCAUUUCCACUGUCGUCAAAAGAAGUUAAUCUCCAAUUAUUGCCAAAACCACCAAUAUGGCGUACCAGGCGUUGAUUCUCCCGUGAAAUAAGCGGUGGAGGAAGCCUUGGAUUCAGGUUGACGUUAGAGCAGUAGUAUGCAAAAUAGGCUGGAUCAGACCGCAGUUGUUCCUCAGACUCAGAAUUCUCAAUAGCACUGCUUAAACUUGCCAAGCUUGAAUCCAGAUUGUUCCGUUGAGUCAUUAGAUUCCCAAUAGCAGCAAAAGAACCCUCCAUACUAGGUGGUGCACUACCACUUCGAUUCGGAACCAUAUCGCUCUGAUCUCCAUGCAACCUAUGACCAUUCAGAAGUAAUCCCAACUCCUCCGCUGCCAUAUUCUUUAAUGGUGAUACAAAUGUUGCAGCAUCCAUGGAAGAGGGCCAUUUAGUAGCUCCACUGCUUUCCACCAUUCUCAUAGGGCUCUCAGUUGCCAUCCUGAUUAAAUAUAAUCAUGGGCAACCUUUGUAUAAAACAAUGACUUUCAUAUUUUCUUCUGGGAGCCAUGUCAACCCCCUAUUCACGAAUUUUAAGUCAAUUAUUAACUUUAUAUUCAAAAUUUACAUAAAAGAAAAAGGAACCCUGUCAAAAUAAAUAAAUAAAGGAAACAGGUUGCAGACACCUAGCAUCACAUGCCGACAUGUGGUGUUGCCAUUUUACUCUUUAACCAUAUACAAGAAUCAUGAGCAAAUUGACAACAAAGUUAACAUAAGCAAGUUAGUUUAGACUUCAGAGUAAAAUCAAUAGUUACCAACAGCAAAAAGGGGAAAUGGAAGGGGGGAAAAGGCACAGUUGAAGCAAUGAAAAAGUACUCUAAAAGGUAGACCUACAACAAAAAUGACAAAAAAUCAAAGUACCUAAUUGAAAGCAAAAACAACCAACAAAUUGUUUAAAUCAUAAGAUAUAAAUACAUAUUUAAAGGGAAAAUUUACUUGCAUUUGCUCUUUUUACAAUGGCUGUAGAACUCAUGUAGGUGGUUUUGGCAAGUCCAUGCUCCGUUUCCAGCUCAAUGCAAUCAGGGGAAACAGUGACAUUGGCUUAACAACCACAGUAAAACUAGUAUCGAUACCCAACAAAGGUAAUAAGGUCACCAUAAUACAUCAAGACAACAAACUCCAAAAUAAGUGAUGUCAUCAGAAACAAUGUCAACAAAUUUGCCUGCUAGUAUGAGGCUGUUGACGAAAGGGAAAAAAACCAAACCAAAAAAGAAAGGCAGCUAAAAUAUAUGUCAUUUAUGGUACACCUAGAGCCAGCAAAAUGUUAGGUUAAUGCUGAUAGGUGCAUCUGGGCCUAAGUAAUAAUCCAUUUGGAAAAAAAUAAAAUUUUAUGUUAAAAUAAUUCUAUUAAGUACCUCAAAAUGCUUCUAGGAUAAAAAGAUAUCAUAACAUUCAACAUAACUGAAAUUAAUAACUGGAUUAAACCAGAAACAUUUAACAUGAGGCAGUUCAAGAGCCAUAAAAGUGUUAAGGUCAGAUUUCAACAGCUGUAAGAACAGGCAAGAGCUACCUUUUUAUCAGCGAGAUCAAAUCAUCCAUAAGAGGAGGGAGGAUAAAGAGGACGAUUUACAAAGAAUUUGGGCAAUCAACUGAGUACAAAAGUGACUAAGACUAGUUCACCAUGAACAUCAACAUAUCGGAUUAAAGGAAUAAGAUCAGCAUGCAUUGUGGUACAGAAUGAUAGGUAAACAAGAAACACAUCCUUAUAGAUGAACUGGGGAUGUCGAGAUAAACAACUGGCAAGACAAGGUAAGAAAUAAUUAAUACCAAAUGAGUUGCCUGGAAAUAAGGUGAAAAGAAGUCAACUGAGAUGGUCUUUGCAUGAAUGGUCUCACUGAGACCAGUGAGUGCAAUUAUAAGAAUUAAAGUUAUUUAAGUUUGAAGGUUCUAUAAGGAUGACAUGAAGGCCAAAACAUGGAUUGAGCUACGAGAAAGGGCAUAAUGGGUUGUGAUGCAAAUUGACCCAGGCAAGAGCGGGCACGUGGGUAUAGAACAUAAAUAUUUGAAAUGUUUUUUACUCAAACCAACAACAUGGGGAAAAAUAAAUCUUCCCUUUUUAUAAAUGAAGAAAAAAAAAGUCACAUUAGGUUGAAUAGUCAAAUAAAACUCCCUUAGUAUCUAAUUAAUGAUGGAACGUAUUAAUUUCAAACAUGCGAGACAAAUCAAUACUCUAAAAGAUCAUUUCACCCCAACUCAUGAUUGAUCCAUUCUGCAAAACCAUAAUAAAAAAAGGCAAAGCAGGUAAUUGUAUAAGCUGCCCCAGUCUGUCCUUAUUUGCAGGUUAACAAAACCACAACUAUAGUUUUCACUGUUGUUAACAAAUUGAGCAUUCUUCCCCAGAGACAAUAUAAGAAAGGUUUCAAAUAUCUAAUAUGCUCACUCAUAAAUAUCUUCUCAACCGCAAUAAUCAAUCUUAUGAAAAGCACCCAAUACACUUACUAAGCAUAUGUUUCAAACCAAAUUCAAAUUCUCUUAACUGCAUGUUUUAUGCACGAUUAAAACCAAAAUUGUGAGAAUAGCAUAGUUCCCACAAACAAAUAUCUAUGGUUUCGCACGCCAACCAGAGUAAAAAUUCAGCAACAUUUCCAACAAAGCAGCACCAACAACACUUAAUGGAAUCCCACUGAAACCAAUACCUAUCAAAAUUGAAUAGAACCCAUCAUUCCUAAAGCCCUAAAGCAUCCCUCAGACACAAUCAAUUCAAAUACAUGACUAGAAAUAAUAACAAAGCAAGAGGCUUAACACAAACCAUCAGAAAUUGGAGACAAAACAGUCCAACUUCAAACCCUAGUACACAUUUUCAGAAUAACAAAAGUUGCAAUUACCUAAGCAUAUCUUUUGCAACCAAAUUCAACUUUUAGCUCUGUGUUCUAUGUACAAUUUUUUAAUUAUCAAAUUCACAAACCCCCACAUAUGGUUAUGAUCACACGCCAACCCAAGCCAAAUUUCAGCACCAUUUCCAACAAAAGAUCAUCAAAUAACACUGAACAGAAUCCAUUAAAACCAAUAUUCAUCAAAAUUUAACAGAACCCACCAAUCCUAAAACCCCAAACUCGCUCAAACCACUAUAAAUUCACAUGGCCAGCAACAAAAUAAUAACAAAGCAAGAGGCUUUAACGGCUUUGCACAAUAAGAACACCACGGGAAACCCAAUUGAAGACAAAAGACUCCAACUUUAAAACCCUAGUGCACAUUUCCACAUCAACCCAUGUUGGGCAAAGGGAUUGUGAGCCUCACCCACAAGUGUCAUCAUAAACCCUAGAAGUUUGAGCCCCCCAAAGUCGGCAGAAGCUUUCAAGGAAUUCUAGAGAGAGGAAAUUCAAGAGAGAGAGAGAGAGAGUUCUUGGUGUGAAGAAACAAAUGUCACUUUGCCAAGCCACCACAGUGUAUAUGGACAAGGUUUCCAAAAUUUAUUAUUUAAAAAAAAAAAUAUAAUUUCCAAAUAAAUUAAUUAAUAUUAUAUUAUUAAAUGACAAUAAUGCCCUUUGGUUUGCCAUGGUUGUAUCUUCGGGAAGCCUUCGAUUUUGGAAGGACAAUGUUGGUAUUUUUGUCAAAGUGGAGAGUACACUUGGAGGGGUUUCUUGGAGGGGGGAGCAUGGCUCUUUGAUGGAACUGCAGAGUAGCCUGGACUUUGUCCCCAUUAGAUUUGGGGGGUGGUUCUGGUGCUUCACGGUCUACCAUGGUCAACCAUGUGGCCGCAAUUCUAGGCCGUUCGAUUGGGUUAGGUUGACGUGUGAUGCUUUGAUUCACGUUGGUUGACCUGAGAAGCUAAAAAUUUUAUAGUGUACACGGCUGUGAUGGGGCAGAGUUAAGCUAACAAGGUGGGUUUCGUAUUGGACAAUAACAACAAAAUCUGAGCCGUUGAUCUAUCACAAACCAUAGGAUCAACAAGAAGGUACCUCCGGCAAGGCCCGGUAUGUUUUAGGUCUUUUUUUUUUUUUUGGUGACACAAUCUUGUUACUUUAAAUUUCCUACUUUGGGUUGCUAAUGACAAGUCACCUAAUAACUAGCAAAAAAUAUUUUUUAAAAUGUGUGUAAAGUGACUGAAACACCCUCGGAAUGGAUAAUGUGAUUAGGGAAAGUGAUUAAAUUAAGAGAGCUUAUGAGAGGGGUAAGUUUGGAAUUCCGAAUAAAAAAUAGUACCAUGUUUGGAUGGCUCAUGGAGCAGCAGCCAAAAGCCAGAAAACGUGCCCACAAAGCAAAAGAGAAAGAACUGAUGUGGUGUGAUCCUGGCCGUCCGAUUAUUCGCUAAGGGACCUUUUGGUCAACGGCUGAUGUCCUCCCAAAGGGUUGGUGCCCUCGAAGCACGUGCUUAUCAUUUUCUUUUUUUAAUUUUAUUUUAUAAAUCUAUUUUUAGAGAUAUUUAUUAUUUCUUUUUCUAUAAUUACCCAAUUAUAGAAACAACUUAAUUCAAAAAUUUAUAAAAAAAAUAUAAUAAUAAAGGAAAAUAAAAAUAUAUCUUUAAAUUCCAUAUAUUUUAUCAUAUAUUUCUCCAAAUUAAUUUAUUUCUUCUAUAUAUAAAAGAAUAAUUUUGCAAAUAUAUGAUUUUUAAUAAUUAUGGUUUUAAAAUUUAAAAGCUUAUGAUCUUUAAGACCGUGUUUGGAACGCUGGAUUAUAGAAUGAGAAGUCAAUUCCAUCCCUUAUUCAUUUAUGUUUUCAAAUUGUUUUUUAAAAUCAAAAUCUUUCAUUAUUAUAGAAACUAAAUCCUAUUUUUACUAAGAUUUUGAUUCAUUUAUUUUGCAUGGUAUUAUGAUUCCAUUCCAUUCUUAUCUUAUUUUUAUUCGUAUUCUCACAUACCUAACACACUUUAAAGUAACGCAGAAGAAUAAAUUUUUAAUAAUUUAUAUAUAUAUUUUAAAGUAAUUAAAUAUAGAAGAAGUAUAAAUUUAUGAAUAUUUUGUUUUAAAUUAACAUAUAUUAUUAUUUUAUAUUUUCAUAAAAUCCAACCAUUUAAUAUUUAUAAAUUUGUGAUAUUUUUAUCCUCCACCAAAAUUGAAGCACCCAAGAGAAAAGAAAAGAAGAGGAAGAGAAAAUGGGGGAGAAAACAAAGGGAAAGGGAUGGAGACCUUAAUGAAAGUACAAGUGGAUGCCCCACUUUCUUUUCUUUUCUUUUCUUUUCUUUUCUCCCAAAAGGCCAAAAAGUGAAAUGUUGAUUGAGAGACCCAUUUGGAGGGUUUGGAGUUGUCUUUGCUUCUUAGGACCUUGGCAUGGGUGGCGGCUCCCAUUUUUGGACUUUGGCUUGUCACCACAUCAUUGCCUUUUCUCUUUGCCUUUUUUUUUUUCUAAAAUAAAAAAUGAAAAAAAAAUUCUCUUAAUUAUCUAUCAUGUUUGGAUUCAUAAGGGUAUUAUUUUUCUUGAAUAAAAAACAAAUUCAUAAAAAUAAAUUAAAAUGUAAUGAUAUUUUAUUGAUUAAAAGCUAAAAUCUAAUAUUUUAUCAUUUAAUAAAGUUUUUUUUAAGGAAGAUUAUAAACGUUUUCUAAAAUUUGUAUUAGACAUACUUUAAAUUAUGUCUCUUCCGAUCGAUUGUUAAAAACUAAAAUCAAAGUUAUAAUUUUCAAAAUAAUAAUAAUUUUGAAAUCAUUUAUCAAAGAAGUGGAAUAAAGCUUUUACAAGAAGUAAUAUUUUUUUUUAAAAAAUAAAAAAUUCUUUUAACAAAACUAUCUAAAUGGAUACAAAAGCUUUUAUUAAAGCUAAAAAAGAAUUUUUGACUUCUUGGCUAAAAGAGAAUUUUUACCAAAAAAAUUAGUGAAAGCCCUUUUUAGCCCAUACAAAAAAAAUUUCAUAACAAGAAGAAAAAAAGGCCAUUUAAAAUAACAAACUUGGCCUUAGCCUUCACUUAUCAUAAAAGUUAAAAAUAAGAAACUACCCAAAGGCCCAAUCAUUUAGCCUCGUGGGCUCAAAAAGCCCAAUCUCAAGCCCACCAACCCAAAUUCUUUUCACAGCCUAAGGUCUAGUAAUCAUUUUCUAAAACAGUUUUUUAUUUUACAUGAAAAAAAAGGAAAAACCGUUUCACAAAAAAAAAAAAAAAAAAAAACUGUUUUCUAUACUUAAAAACAAAAAAACAAGAUGUUUUAAAAAACAUUUUUUAAUUAUUUCUAUUUAUUUUUUUUGGAUUGUUUCAAAAAAAUAAUUAUAGUUCGUAAAAUGAUUAAAUAUAAAAUAUUAAACAUAAAUUUUUUUUUUAAAACAUAUUAAAAGUAUUUUCGUUUUCAAAUAAACAAUUAUUUUACAAAAUAUCAAAGAACAAUUUUUUACCAAAUAUGUCCUGUUUCUCUUUCUUUGAAUUCAUAUGUUUAUUUAAAAUUUAAAACGAGGAGAAAUGGUAAGUCCAUAAGGCCCUGUUUGUUAAAAAAAAACAAAAUAAUGUUUUUAUAUUUGAUUUCAUUAUAAAAAAUACAAAAAAAAAUUUUAUAAUUAAAAUGUAUUUAUUUAAAAUUAUUUAAUCCCAAUACAAUAAAAUAAAUUUUAAAAACAUAUAUAAAAAUAAUUUACAAACUUUAAAUCUAUUUUUUAAUAUUCUUUUUAUUUCUUCUACUUUUUCUUUCUACUUUUUCUCUUUAUUUUCUUUUUCCUCGAUUUCCAAAACCAAAUAUUCCACAAAUUUACAAUGAGAAUUUCUUUCUCCUACAAACACAAAAUAAAAAAAAUAUUUAUUAUAAAAAAAUUAAUAUUCAUUUAUUAAUAAAUUAUACUUAUUUUUAAUAUAAUUAAAACGUUAAGAAAAGAAAAAAUAUUUUGAAAAAAACAAUAAGAAAAAGUCAACUCUUCCUGUCCUGUUGCCAUUCUACUUCUACCGAACACAACAUAUCCUCCAUAAUCCAAGCAAAAUGGAACUCAAAACACCAUUUUCAUUGAAGAUUCCAUGACAAAUAUCAGAAACAUGAACUCCAUUGAGGAAGAAGACAACAUCAACAUAAUAGAAUUCACCAUUGAUUUGGUUGAAAAGAACUGACCAGACAAAGAAGCUGCAGGCAAAACGAGACGGGACAAGACGCCUAAUCUGCAGAUUUCCUUCAUUGAUGUAGACACUGGUAAGUUUUCUACCCAUUUGAACGGAUCAACAGCCUUGAAUACUUUGCUUACAGAAAUUCAGACCAAUGUAUCAUCAAAGAUCAAACUAAUUAGAUAGGGAACCCAAAAAUUCUUGAGGAAAUAGGAGAAUGAUGUUUCUAUCAUCCUAGCAGAGUUUCUUACAGGUGAAGACGGUCUUUCUGCAGCUUCCCACCUGAAAAAUCUUGGUUUGUUCAUGUUUCCUUACAGAUAUUAACAAGGGAAAAGGGUAGGAGAAGGGUCUCGCUGGAGCUUUCCAUCCAGUAACUCGAGCUUGUUCAUCUUCCCUUCACACCAAAGCAACUGCUCCUUGGUGAUCCUUUCCAUUCUCAGUACUCUUGACAGGACUUUGAUGUCAAUGAGGCCAAACAGCAUCUCCACUUCUGCAUGAGUUGCGGGCCAGGAUUUCUUUUUCCGGCCUUUCUGCUUUCUGCGCAGCUCCUUCAGUUUCAUCUCUUUCUGCAGUUUGAAGGCACGUGAGUUGUGGCAUAUAUGCCAUUCCCAUAAAUAAAUAAAAUAAAAGAUAAAUACAGUUUAGGGAUGUGUUAAGGCUUUUGGUUCCCAGCUCUGGCACAAUGGAAUGCCUUGCCCAUGCAUCUGGGAAUGUCAGCUAGGGUUAUAAUCUUCAUGUUCACGAUUAUGAGAAUGUAUCAACCCAAAACUACUUUACUACCCAGCCCACUCUAGAAAUGAAGCUAACAAAAUUGCAAGCAUCAUAUACAGUAUUCGGUCAUAUUGAGGAGAUAGUGUUGAAUGUAUGAUUAGAAUAUGACAAGGAAAUUGAGUAAAAGGUAUGUCCCAAACAAAUCAUCUCGAGCAUGGGAUGUAAAAAUACAUAAAUUAUUUGACUGAGGACAAGUUUAAUAAAAGGAGGAUCAAAACAGGGAUUCACAGAAGACGGUAAUACCCAAAAUAUGAUAAGGAAAUGUGGGAGCAAUUACUGGAGUGCUAGACUACUACAGUACCAUGAAUGUGAGAGGGGGUGCUGUGGGGACUCAAAGACUAGCCAUGGGGACCUGACAUUGCAUGGCUGAAUCACCCACAAAACAACAGGUCCAAAUGCCUGAACUGUCUAUGAGAGUCCUCCACUACCAGCCACUGCAACGAGGGAUGGAAACUCAAAAUAAUGGAACGGCUUUCUAAUAUGGAUCCCCCAAUUUCCUCAUCCCUGAGUAAGCUUGUCAACUACUAAUAUAGACCAGUCUCAGGCAAGCUGCCAUGUGACUUUCCAGGAUGAACAUGUAUCAGAUGUCUGUGUUCAAGAGAGGAAAUGCCCACAUGGUAAAAGCCAUGAAAGAUGCAAAAACAUGAGGAGAAUGGAAAGGGAUUGUCAGGAACGAGUCCAAUGACUAUCACACAAUAUGUAUCUAGCAAUUAGAUGGUUCUAUCAAGAAUUAGGCUUUUGAAAAGAAUAGAAUAAAACGUUGUGGUUGGUAAGUAUUAUUAAGCAAGCAACAAGUUCUUGCACUGGAUUUCUACAACAGCUAUGCUAUUAUUUAUCAGAAAAAGAACGUGAAAUUUUAGGUCACGAAUCAUUGCCUUGAUUGAAAUGAGAUACAGCAUGGAAACCUUACCUUCUCAAGAAAAGAUUGAAUCUGUUGAAGUGGUGUAGCAGUCUGGUUCUGUCCACCAAACAGAUUAAGAACACCACUCGACUUUUUCUUGUCCAUCUUCAAGAAAAGGUGGAAAGUAAGGAUUGAGCUCUCAAUGAUUCUAAUUAGAUCAGAGGCAAGGACAAGAAAAUCUGAUUCCUCUUCCAUCCGUGUUUGAUCUGAAUCUGAACAGAUUUACAAAGAAAAACACUUUACAGCACAAGCCAGAAAAAAUUCAACCCCAAGUACUCCAAAUAUUAUUGAAAAUACUCUUUAGUUUCAAGGUGCAAAAUGAAAAUGUAAACAACACACCAUUCAUAGGUGGGACCAUGGAAUUUCCAAUCAAAAUGGUCCAGUGUUUUUAUGUAAAUAUGCACCUACCUUGUACAUUUGGAACCUGGAGAAGUUUAGGGAGCAGAUUUCUUGCUCGAGCAUAAAUUUCUACUCUGGGGCCCUGCUCAAAUGGUUCAUUUUCAAUAAACCUUUGCAACAAAACCUGGAAUUGUUGAAACUGCUGGGCACUGUGGUUGUAACAAGUGGGAUUUUCGGGUUGGCAUGAGAUUUUCUGGCUCAACUGUGUGUACUGGCAGUGAAGUGCCUCCCAAGUCAAGCAAAUAUGAGCUACAUAUGCCGUUUCAAGAUCCUGAUAUGGGUUGUUAUCUGGCUUCUGCAGGUGUUCGGCUUCAUCUUCAGCUUCUUCCAUCUUUUUCAAAGAAAGGCAACGGAAGGGAGAUGAAAGCUUUUUAGAUGCAGAUCUUGGUGAUGGAGUUAAAGGAACGUCAGAACCUGCAACACAACAGAACCUUAAUUUGUCAUACAGAUUCAAAGAUUCUAGCAUCCCACACAACCCAAAGAAGGCUAUUUGAAAACAAAAAUGUGCCAAAAGUUGGGAAAUUCAGGAGGACAAGAAAAAUGGAUAUUGUAUAGGGAGCUUGGUCCAUGGUUACUGCUUUGUUCCAGAUUGCUUUGAUGCUUCAUAGACCUUUGAAGAAGGUGCUUCUCUGCUGUGAUAGUAACCACACCAAGAAAAGAAUGAGAAAGGUGGGGAGAGGUGUUCCAAUUUUUCGGGCCUGGUGUAUCAGGAAAUAUAGGAACAAGAGUACCUUUGAAGGGUUGGAAGCCACAAUCCCCAACAUUAAAGAGCUUAACCUACCCUGUUCACAGUCCAGGACUCGGUGUGAUCUGGUGGAAAGAGGCGGGCUAGAUAAAACUGAAAAAUCUUCCACUAACAAAUAAUCCUGACUUAAUUGAAAAAUCAUAUGGAGUUUCUCAUCAGUGGAGGUAACUACAAGUAUUCCUACAUAUGCCCCAAAGGAUAACUCUAGGUUUGUGGUAGCCCAUCCAGAGGAUGUUCUAAAAGCAACUUUAUGAGCUUCAAAGGUAGGAUGCUCUGAAAAAAAUAAGUGUAGAUUUGGGAAUAGCCUAAAUUCGAAUUAUACAAUAUUGAUGAUUUCAGUAAACAAUUGCACAAAUUCAAUGACUUGGGUGAAAUGGCAAAAACUGAUACAUAGAUUUUCAGAACUUCAACAAGAAAAAACAUAUAUAUCUUGAACCCAAGGCUCAUCAAUCUUCAUGAAGCCAAAACUGGGUCAAAUCAGAACUCCAACAUACUCAAAUUUCUAUAAUCAAUCUAGUUUCUUGCAUUGAGGUGAUGAACUAGUUGGUUUAGUUCUCAGUUGAGCUUUUCCACUAAAUUAAGCCUAAAUCAAAUGAGGUUGCUGUUUACUCAGGGAGGAUUCGGCCUUUUCCUCUGGCCACCUCUUAAAUAGCAUCUUGGUCAAGGGGAAGUAAAACAACGAACACAUAAUCUCUAUGAAGACGUUAGUAACAAAUUUCACUUUUGAAACAAAAAAAAGAAAAUUCUAAUAGGUCAAGAGGCAAUUCAGCUCAAAUUAUAUAGCAUACAUGAACGCGAACACUUAGAUCAAAUUAUAACAAAAUGUAUAUACCAGCUUCAUUCAGUUGCUGAGCACUCAUCCGAUCAAAGAACAACAUCCGCUCGCAAUAUUUGUCAAACACAUCAUUAAACCCGUGCCAUGGUUGUCGGCCUUCUGCAUCCCCAUCCCUCCACUCGCUAGAGCUCAUCUCACCUUCCUCUUCCUCCUCCUCUUCCGGGCAAGACUCUUCCGGUAUUAACACCAUAAAACUGCUCCUUCUCAAUUCUUUCAACCUCCUCUUCACCUCAUUUGUAAUAAAAUCAUCAUCAUCAUCCUCGACAUCACCAGAGGGAUCAGAGUUAGCUGGUUUACUCAUAUUAUCACCAUUCUCAUUCUUGGGUUCCUCAGGUUGUGGCACAGGCUUAUCCUCUGAAUCCUUUUCUGGGUUUGGUUUGUGGGCUUUUCUAAACUUCUUAACUUUGAAGAAAUCCAUUAUAAAAUAUGUCUUUUGAGGCAAAGCAGCUUUUUCUUAUAACCAAAACAUAAAAAAGCUACAAAAUCCAAACCCCACUAAGAACAAAACCACCUAUCUUAACCCUAUGAGGCCCAAAAACAGCCUCAGAUUCAAACUUAUUAGACAACAAAGAUCUUUUCAAGAAAAAAGAUAGACUACCCAGAGAUUCAAGCAAGCUAAAAACAGCAAAGAAAUCUAUUUUUCUUUGAAACACGAAACCCUAAACUAAAACCCCAUUUUUUUAGCAGAAAAGUAAAUGCAGUCAGAUGAACUCUGAAACAACACUUGCAGCGAUCAAAAACCCAGAAACCUCUCACGAGUUAGUAAAAAUUUCAACAUUUCAGUCUCAGAAAAGUACAUUUUCCAGCAACAUUACUCCAAAAAAGAACCAGAGAU
rnacentral:lncRNA from 1 species